UACCUCACUAUUUGUGCCCCACCCCCUUUCCAGAUCAUAAAUAAAUAUUAACAAAUACAAUGCAUAGUUCUGAACCUUAAGGCACCCUGCUGCUGAUCUUUUGUUGUAAUGAAAAUCUACUAUUUAUUCAUACUCUUUGCUCUCUGUUUCCUAGCUAGUUUUUGAUCCAUGACAAUACUUUCACUCUCACCUCAUUACUACUUAGCUUUUUUAGUAACUUCAAAGUAUAGGACUUUGUUAGACACCUUUGGAUGUCUAAAUAAAUGGCAUAUGUCAACUAAUUAGACUCACAGACUAAUAAAUUUUAAGGCCAGAUGGGACCAUCAUGAUCAUCUAAUCUGACCUCCAGCACCUCACAGGCCACAGAACCUCAUGAACCCACUCCUGUAAUAGGCCCUUCAAAUUACAGAGGUCUCCUUCAUCCACUCCUUUGACGUGUUCAAAGACUUCAAAGAGAUUAGUGAGAUGUGAUUUUCCUUUGUGGAGUUCAUGCUGGUUAGAUCCUAUAAGAUCAUGAUCUUCCAGGUGUUUUGUUAUUCUGUUAUACUUACAGAGUCAACCAAUUGGCUGGAUACAGAUGUAAAGCUAUGAGUCUAUAAUUCCCUGGGCUUUUUAAAAUUAUGUGUACAACAUUUCCAAUCUCCCAGUCCUCUGGAACAGUAUAUAUUUUUAAUUAGAAAUUACAAUUUUUUGUUAGCAGUUCAUCUACUUCAUACUUCAGCUCCUUCAGAAUUCUUGGAUGUAUACUCUGGUGAGUUAUUGCAUUUUAAAUAAUUAUUUUCCCAGCCCAUCUUUCUCUGCUACCUCAAUCUGUAAAAAUGCCUCAUUUUUGUUACCAGGCCUAGGGUAGGAAUCUCCUCAACAUCCUCAGUGGUGAAGACUAAUGCAAAGAAAUUAUUUAACUUCUCAUCCACAUCCUUAUCUUCUUAAUUUCUCCCUUUAGCCCAUGGUGACCCAGCAGACCCAUUGAUUCUUUUUCAGGCUUCCUGCUUGAGAUACUUAAAAAAUCUCUUAUUGUUUGUUUUUACAUCGUUAGCUAUUUGCUUUUCAGACUUCAUUUUGGCCCACUAGGAGUAGUGUAAUGUGUAAACCCCGUCCUGCCACAGCUGCCUACAGGUUAAGAAACUAAGUACAUACCACCUUAGCUGCAGCUAAUUGAUGGACCAUCAACAGCUGGGAUAAGAGUCUCCCUCUCAGGCAGAAAGGAGGCUUUCAAGGGGCCUUUGCAUCAGCUACAAAUUGGCAGUAAGUGGCACAAAGCAGUGGAAGGAGGAGUUCUGUGAAUGAGACCUGGAUGAAGCUGACAUCAGUGGCUGCAAGUGCUUCAGAAAUGGCCUUCUGACCAUCACAUUGUGGACUAGUCCUGAUGAGCUUGUCCAGAGGCGGCUUCUUGGAAUUUCGUACCUAUUGUAAGGUGGACCUACAAUGUCAAAUAAAGAAUCCCAUGGAGUGCAGUUGGACUGGAAGAGAACAAACAAUUCAAAACUAGCAUCCCUUUGGGUCAGUCAUAAACUGCAAGUGAACAGAACUUCAUUACAUGGACUGAUUGGAUGAGUGAUGGUAUAAUGAUGCAUGCAGGAGACUUACAAUGCUGUGAAAUUUCCUCCUUUAGUGUAAAAAAAACUCUUCCUGUAAUGUCAAUUUCAUGAGUCUGUGUUCCACUGUAAAUAAUUUUCAGCAACAACAGUGAGGGGACAUCAUAUUUUGUGAGAUGCAGGUGAUUUUUAGGACUAAAAUGAAUGACAUCUCUUGAAAGAGGAAGCUUGAGAGUGAUAUAAUAAAGUUAAAGCUCGUGAUAGGUGAAACUGUAUGCACAGGGGCAAUACGGUAGGAAGUAAGUCUUAGGAACCCAGAUAUUUGCAAAAUGUGUAUCUUUGAAAGGGCCAUUAUUACUUCCUGGGUUGAAAACUUUAUCCAGAGUCCUAUAUUCCUCCUUCUUUUGCCCAUUUAAAAAGUUGCAAGGUGACUGUUUUACCCAAUGUUUGUUUGAAUGUAUAGUGUUGUCGCCUAAUUUAACCUUGAACAGCUGGAACAGUGUCUAUUAGGGAUCACGUUUAGCAUGGGAGAAUGUUCCAUGUUGUUGUUAAGUAUAGAAUGAAUUUGGUAGAAAAAGAAGGAAAAAGUCACGUGCUGCAUGAAAUUUCUUACGCUUUGGUAAAUGCCCUCCAGUAAAUUGAAAAGAAUAUUCAAAGCCAAUUACUAUGGAUGUCAGUUAAAAUAUCCAUUGUCUAGACAAGCUAUCCUCAGUUCACUUCAGAGGGAUCAACGCUUCUCAAGACUGUGUUCUAAAUCCAGGUGCUUUACUGUAGGCCUUUUCUUGCUGUCAUUUCUCAGACAAAACUUCCACUGGCCUCAGCAGCAAUGGCUUCAGUGAGAGCUUUGCUUCAAGAAAGUCUGUGGGAUUAGACCUCAUAUGGUACUUCUAUCUCCCAUAGGAUGUACUAGUUAGUGUUAAAGCAGUUUUACUUAUAUUUCAUUUUAAUUGUACCUACAUCUAUUUUAUUUUUAGCUAGUGGUUUAUAGUAUCCUUAAUUAGCCAUGGAUAUUGUUCUUUGCUUUGAGAUUUCUCUCUUUCUUUCUUAUUUCCAAUGAAUAAGAUGUCUGAAUUAUAAAAGGUAUUUCCCAAUCUCCUGUUGAGAAAUAUGCCAGAGUAUUAAUAUAAAAAAAAGGGGAAGAAAUAAAGGACUUUUUAUGU